AGUUAAUUGGCAAUCAAGGUAAAACAGUCUAGUGUAAACAGGUCCUUUAGGUUUUAAAGUACAGCCCCCCCACAACUCCCAGGAUGUGCAGUGCAGUGGAGUUAAGCUCCCGCCUUUAGGGAUUACUUACCACCGAGCAACCUUGACCUUUUCAUGAGCCCGCAGCUCAGUCUGGAUGCGUGGAUCAGCCCCAAGAAGGAACACCAAUCGUUUCACUGAGGAAGGCAGGAGGGAGAGAUGGUGGAGAAGAGUCUGUGGCAGGCAGCUAAGUAAAAACAACCUGGACUGUCUUAGUCUAGGAUUGCCAGCAAGAGAAGGGGAGUGAGCAGCCCCUCCCCUAAGCACAGUGGAUGUGGUGGAAUGAAAUCGCCAGAGAACACUGAAUGUGGAAUAAUGGCCGCAAAGCCCAUCACUAAGGAGGAGCAGAAAGUUUGUCCCCGGGGGAGUGAAGAAAACAACAGGCUAGUGCAUCCUGCUCCACUUCUCCAGGGCGACAGCAGGCCAAUGAGGGCUGUCUCAGCACCGCAGCUGUGAUUUCCAAGAAGGACCUUCUGGAGAUGAUACCAUUGCUUCUCGUGCUGGGGGAGUGCUGACCAACACGCAGAUCGCUAACCUGGAUGAACUUGGCCAUAGUUUAGUCAGUUGGCUCCUGUGCCUUAGACAGUCAUUUAAUGUACCUUUCCCUUUUGUUGAACUAAUCAGUCAAUGGCUACCUCCAUUGAUCUGGGCGGGGCUGGGGUGGGCACACCACAGAACUUGUGUGAAGGAGAAGAUGAAUGUUUGGGCUUGGAAAAAUCACCUCUUUAGAAGCCUUAUCCCACUGAGGGGGGCACAUGUCCCAGUUGCCUGGGCGCCAUGGCAUCUGGGUUCUAUUCAUGGCUUUGCCACCAACCCUGUUGUGGGACCCUGGGCAAGUCCCUUCACCUUUCUGUUUAGAUUGACAGUUCUUCAGGGUAGGGACUGCUUCUCCCACUGUGUUUGUAUAGCACCUAAAACAAUGGGGCCCUGAUCUCAGGUUGGGCUUUUAACUGCUAAUGUAAUAGAAAUAAUAAGAACCCUGCAGUUUUUCGGGGUGGGGGUGGGGCCCUCAAUAACCCAAUCUUUAUAUUCAUUAUUACGUCUACUGUAGAAUUAUGGUACCCCCUGUAGAUUAUAUUUACUCUGUAGAUACAGUUGGUGCUUUCCACAGGGUAAAAAUGUGCUGAACAAACAAAAAGAUUUUCUCCCCCAAGGAGUUUAUAGUCUAAGUCCAGAGGGGUUAUAAUACAGUAUGGAACAAACACAGGAUGGAUGUGGUCUUUAAAGCUGGAAUGUUUCUGUGUUUUUCUGAUCGUGUCCUUCUUAGACUCUGCAAUACAUACUGUGACCCAUGGCACCUAAAUAUCUGUUCUAAUUAAUAAGCCAAAUGGGUGUGCACAUCAGUGUACUGCAAACAGUCAGAACGCUAUCAAGUUGGUAGAAACACCCUCAUCUUUGUAAACAACAGAAUUCAAGAUAGACUAAAUGGCAGUGUAACAAAGCAAAGACUGAGGGAAUGACUGGGGUGCAUGAACAUUAUAUUAAUGUUUAGUAUUGCAAAGUACAAGAUAACAUCUUGUGGACUGAAUCUGUUGUGUUCGCAAACAUCUGCCUAAUAAUUGUACCUAGCUGUUAUAUGGCACUUUUCAUCAGGAGUGGGCAAAACACGUCACAAAGGAGGGCAGUAGCAUUAUCCCCAUUUUACAAAUGGGCAAACUGAGAUGCAGAGAGAGAACGGCCCAGAUCCUCAAAGGUAUCAGGGCUCCUAACUUCCACUGAUUUCAAUGGUUUACUUGACAAUGUGGGCCAAAGUGACUUGUUCAAGGUCACCUACCAAGCCAGUAACAGAACUGGGAACAGAACCGAGCUCUCCUAAAGUCCAGUCCAAUACUCUAUACAUUAGGCUAUACCACCUUCCUAAGUAGGUGAUUUUGUCAUUUUGUACUGUGGUUCCUGUUGGUAUAUCUACAAACACAGUCUUUUGGCUCCAGGAUAAAUCUGCGGCAGGAACCCGUAGAUUUCAUCUCUGUUUUUAAAAGCAGGGUCUUCUGUCUCUGUCAGGCAUGCCUGGGGGUUCUCUGGCUCACGCGCGGCUCCUGACCGUCAGACUCACAGAACAAUUUUAUUUCUAUUAUUAUUAUUGCUUAGCCCUGCAUAUUUUUUUCUCUUACCAAAGCACGUUUUGACCUGUACUGUACGAUACCAUCUGGUAGCCGUUCUGCAGUGACCCAGUGCAGCUCAUGGUGGACUCUGGAGUUUGUGCAGGGAAGUAUCAAACAGAACACAAGGCCCUUUCCUGCAUUCAUUGCACAGCCUCCUCUCCCCCUAACACCAGGGCUGGAUCUGGCUGUAAUUUUCUA